rnacentral:antisense_RNA from 1 species
AUUAUAAAAAUUUAAGAAAAAUAUAUGACAAUGGUCAGAAUAUCGCGUUUUGGUAGGAUUUUUAAAACCUUAACGCGUUGAUUUUAUGAUGUUUGGUACACCCGAGUGGACUCGAACCACCGACCCCUACCA